rnacentral:rRNA from 1 species
GACGAACUGUCCUAACGUUGUUCGGAAUCACUGGGCUUAAAGGGCGCGUAGGCGGUCGAUCAAGUCAGGGGUGAAAUCCUGCAGCUUAACUGUCGCAGUGCCUUUGAUACUGUGGAGCUCGAGGGAGGUAGGGGUCUGUGGAACUUCCGGUGGAGCGGUGAAAUGCGUUGAUAUCGGAAGGAACGCCGGUGGCGAAAGCGACGGACUGGAUCUCUUCUGACGCUGAGGCGCGAAAGCCAGGGGAGCAAACGGG